GGCCAUCUUCCCUCCCCAUUAAGGAGACAGCUGUCUUUGCGGGCAUCCAGGAGACUGGACAGAGAGAAGACAAAAAAUAAACAUCACUGAGUGCCAGCCUUCAGCAGGGUCCAGCUGGAUUGGAACAGCAAACGCUCUCUGCCUGCCUCUGGCCUCUUCUUGCCCCCUUGGAUUGAAGAAUUGGCUCAGGGUGCUGCCUCUGAGACAGGUUGCAAA
rnacentral:lncRNA from 1 species